rnacentral:rRNA from 1 species
UACGAAGGGUGCAAGCGUUACUCGGAAUUACUGGGCGUAAAGCGUGCGUAGGUGGUUUGUUAAGUCUGAUGUGAAAGCCCUGGGCUCAACCUGGGAAUCGCAUUGGAUACUGGCAGGCUAGAGUGCGGUAGAGGGUAGUGGAAUUCCCGGUGUAGCAGUGAAAUGCGUAGAGAUCGGGGGAACACCAGUGGCGAAGGCGACUACCUGGACCAGCACUGACACUGAGGCACGAAAGCGUGGGGAGCAAACAGG